CGCACCUUGCGCCUCUUGGUAUUCCGAGAGGCAUGCCUGUUUGAGUGUCAUGAAACAUCAAUCCCCGAGGGUUUUCUGAACCAUUGGCGGACUUGGACCUGGGCGUCUGCCUCACAAGGCUCGCCUCAAAUGACUUAGUGGGAACUUCUCGACCUACGCCUGACGUGAUAAGUUUCGUCUCGGCCGGUCCUGAGGCCCGCUCAGAACAACCCAUAUCUUUUGACAUUGACCUCAAAUCAGGUAGGGCUACCCGCUGAACUUAA
rnacentral:misc_RNA from 1 species